GAAAUGCGAUAAGUAAUGUGAAUUGCAGAAUUCCGUGAAUCAUCGAAUCUUUGAACGCACAUUGCGCCCUCUGGUAUUCCGGGGGGCAUGCCUGUCCGAGCGUCAUUGCGAACCCCUCAAGCACGGCUUGUGUGAUGGGCCCUCCCGCGUCUUGGUCGUCAAGACGGGCCCGAAAUGCAGUGGCGGCUUCGCGGUUAUCCGAUCAGCCAGAGCGUAUGGGGACUUUCUCUCUGUCACACGCCCGCGGCGCGGACCGACGCCUGUCGACCUUCAUUCAUCGUUGUCUCGGUUGACCUCGGAUCAGGUAGGGAUACCCGCUGAACUUAAGC
rnacentral:misc_RNA from 1 species